ACUCAACACUAUUCUAUUAUGAAGGAUGAGUCUUAACUGCAAAAGCAUGCCAUUAAUAUUGAACUUGUUUAAUAUUUAAAUGGAGUCUUGAACGGUUAGUUAGUCCUAUAAAUGUCAUUUUGGAGUUU
rnacentral:sRNA from 2 species